rnacentral:misc_RNA from 1 species
GCAGUUUCCUCCUUAGAUCUGCCAUGCACAGUAAACUCAUCAUGUCCAUCCUGGGCGUCAGUGCCAGUACUGCCCUUCCCUUUCAUAUUUGUAAGACCUGUCCCCUUCUGUAAUAAUGAGAGGAGGUGUUGAGAUGCAUUGCUGUCCACAUUUGCCGGUUGUUCUACAGUGUCUAAGCGAUUAGUACCAUAAACUUGCGAAGUAGGCUGCAGAUUAGGUUUCUUUUCACUAUACUCUGACAACAUUUUAUGUUCAAGGUCCUCACAAGUAAGGAUCGGCGGGAUGGCUUCCCUUUUACUAGAAUCAUGCAUAAGCUCAGGGACCCCAAGUGGUGCAGAAGGCAUAUGCAAUGUGACCUUACUUGUAGGCUCGGGACUCCGAUCGAAAAAUUCAGACGGAAAGCUUUUUGAAAUGUUACCAUCAAAAGCUUGUGAUCUGGAUUUAUCGCCACCAACAAUUAAUGC